AGGUGGGGUAGAGGCGCGAUCUCUAACAGUCUUUAGUGGAGCUUGAGAAGCAUUGAUACUAUGGAGAAGGAAAGGUCGCCGAAGCUUGUAAUACUCUCGAUAUUACUUGCUGGGUCUGUAGUUAAUAACUGCAGGACUGUCUCAAUAAACUUAACCAGUUUAUUGAGUUGUGCUAUCUCAGUG
rnacentral:ncRNA from 2 species